ACAGGUUAUAGUAUAUAUAGAGCUCAAAUCUUUAUAUACUAUUGGCACCUCCAUGUCGUCUCAUCGCAGCCUUGCAAUAAAUUAAUAUUAUUUAGCGUGUAUUGUUGCCUUGUACACACCGCUCGUCA
rnacentral:rRNA from 1 species